GCUGGGUACAGUGGGGCACACCUGUAAUCCCAGUGGCUUGGGAGGCUGAGGUAAGAGGAUUGCAAGUACAAAGCCAACCUCAGCAACUUUGCAAGGCCCUAAGCAACUUAGCAAGAUCCUGUCUCAA
rnacentral:sRNA from 1 species